CCCUUAGAUGUUCUGGGCCGCACGCGCGCUACACUGAUGCAUUCAACGAGUCUAAAACCUGGUCUGAUAGGGCUGGGUAAUCUUUUGAAAGUGCAUCGUGAUUGGGAUAGAUGAUUGCAAUUCUUCAUCUUCAACGAGGAAUGCCUAGUAAACGCAAGUCAUCAGCUUGCAUUGAUUACGUCCCUGCCCUUUGUACACACCGCCCGUCGCUCCUACCGAUUGAGUGCUCAGGUGAAUAAUUCGGACUGCAGCAAUGUUUGGAUCCCGAACGUUGCAGCGGAAAGUUUAGUGAACCUUAUCACUUAGAGGAAGGAGAAGUCGUAACA
rnacentral:rRNA from 1 species